GGGAAACAGUUGGUUGUCGAGGGAGGUGGGAGAGGGAGCGCAAAUGAUCGCCAGAGGAGGGGUGAUCAGUGCCUGGCCGUCAAGGAGAUCUGGAGGUGGGGGGAGCACAAAUGACAAGCUGGACGUCAAGGGGGAGGGGGAGCACAAAUGAUCGUCAAAGACUUGGGGGAGCAGCGCCUGGUGGUGACGGACACGGACUGCGGAAGCGACGACUCCACGUCCAUUUCUGAUGGCAUUUUGAAUGCGUACCUGUUGGAUUUUGCGCUCAAUUUGUACCUGAGGAGUACCUUCAGCAACAGACUAUUUCCAUCAAGAUGCAGGACAGAACGCCACAAGAGAUUCUUCUUCCCCGUGGCUAUCAAACGUUUCAACUCCUCCCCUUCUGUGUGGGAUAGACUGAGACUGAACACAUCCCCAAAGCCUUACCACUCGUCACAUGUUUCAUGUAUAUUGUGUUUUUUUAUGACUGUUGGCAAAUUAAAUUCCCUCCUGGGAUAAAUAAAGUUCUAUCCUAUCAAUAA